rnacentral:rRNA from 1 species
AUUGAACGCUGGCGGCAGGCCUAACACAUGCAAGUCGAACGAGUGGCGGACGGGUGUGUAAUGUCUGGGAAACUGCCUGAUGGAGGGGGAUAACUACUGGAAACGGUAGCUAAUCCCGCAUACCAUCGGAUGUGCCCAGAUGGGAUUAGCUAGUAGGUGGGGUAAAGGCUCACCUAGGCGACGAUCCCUAGCUGGUCUGAGAGGAUUAACGGCCACACUGGAACAGAGACACGGUCAAGACUCCUACGAGGAGCAGCAGUGGGGAAUAUUGCACGAUGGGCGCAAGCCUGAUAAAGCCAUGCCGCGUGUAUGAAGAAGGCCUUCGGGUUGUAAAGUACUUUCAGCGGGGAGGCGUUACCCGCAGAAGAAGCACCGGCUAACUCCGUGCCAGCGGCCGCGGUAAUAC